rnacentral:rRNA from 1 species
AUUGAACGCUGGCGGUAUGCUUAACACAUGCAAGUCGGACGGUAGCAGGCCUUCGGGCGCUGACGAGUGGCGGACGGGUGAGUAAUGCAUAGGAAUCUGCCUGUUAGUGGGGGACAACUUAGGGAAACUUAAGCUAAUACCGCAUACGCCCUUAGGGGGAAAGCGGGGACCGUAAGGCCUCGCGCUAACAGAUGAGCCUAUGUUGGAUUAGCUGGUUGGCGGGGUAAAGGCCCACCAAGGCGACGAUCCAUAGCUGGUCUGAGAGGAUGGCCAGCCACACUGGGACUGAGACACGGCCCAGACUCCUACGGGAGGCAG